rnacentral:rRNA from 1 species
UACGUAGGAGGCAAGCGUUAUCCGGAUUUACUGGGCGUAAAGAGGGCGUAGGUGGCCCUUCAAGUCAGAUGUGAAAUCUCCCGGCUUAACUGGGAGGGUGCAUUUGAUACUGAUAGGCUAGAGUGCAGCAGAGGGAAGUGGAAUUCCCGGUGUAGUGGUGAAAUGCGUAGAUAUCGGGAGGAACACUAGUGGCGAAGGCGGCUUCCUGGGCUGUUACUGACACUGAGGCCCGAAGGCGUGGGGAGCAAACAGGAUUAGAUACCCCGGUA